rnacentral:lncRNA from 1 species
GAAAAAUAAAAAGAUGAACUCUUUGAGAUUAGAGGUAAUAAUAUCAAGAAAUAUCUGUUCUCAUUUGAGUGCAUGUGUCUCUGCAAAAUUCAUAUGUUGGAACUUAAAGCCCAGGGUGAUGGUAUUAAGAGGUGGUAGAAAGGCAUUUGGGAAUGGAUUACAUCAUAAAGGCUCUACCCUGAUUAAUGGGAUUAUGGAACAGGCUUCAAAGAGCUACCUGGAACUUCCAUCACUUCUACCAUGUGAAGAUAAACAUGAAUCUCUUUUUUCCCUUAUAUUUCUUCUGCCAUGUGAGAACACAGUAUUUGUCUUUUCCACCUUUCCAUGAUGUGAGGACACCCCAAGAAUGUCCCCUAAAGACAGGAAACAAGACAUGGAAUCUUCUGGCACCAUGAUCUUGGACUUCAUAGCCUCCAAAAUGAAUAGAGAACCUACAGACCCGCAUGUAUUGAAGUUUGAAACCACCUGUGUAAACAGCACACAGAUGAAGGACCACUUUACCCUGUUUCUCACACCAUAGGUGUCAUAGACAUACUAAUGAAGGGGCUGCCUCACACAGAGAGCUAUCUUACAAGGUUCUGAGAAUAAAAUGAGAGCUAGAAGAGACAUGAUUUCUACUUCAAUAUUUUAUUUGGCAACAUCCUACUGAAAAGACAAGCAAAACCACUAUGAUUCAUAAUACUUGCAGAUGAAGGCAAUAUGACACAAGAAGGUUAAACGGCCUCUCAUGACAAUUGAAGGGAACGAGAGCAAAGCCACCUGCAUAUCUUCGGCAGUUAAAGAUCAGAAUCAUAACAACAAUAACAUCUCACAAUUUUCCAAGUGCUCCUUCGGCUCUGUCUUUUUCCUCCCACCUGAGGCCCCCAGGGUGGGUGUAGACAUUCAUCUCUGCUUCAUUUGAUCCACCUCUGCUUGGCCACUGCUGGACUUUUUCUCAGGCAAAGGAGAACCCCCAGGAGAGUGGAUAAACUGGACCAAGGAGCUGCAGAGCUUUGCUGUUCUAAGAGAAGUCAAGGUGAAGGGUUUAGUGCCUCUGAAGCUGGGGCAAGAAAACAAUCGGCUUCUCCAACGGUCAGUAAAGAAUACAAGGGCACAGUUAAAACAGAGCCACUGAAGUGAACAACCUUCAUGUGACCAACAGGAGAAACACCCCCUCCAGGAACCUAAGACCAGUUUGCUACAAGAAUACAAUUGGUAUUCCCCACAGUCACCCUCACAAGGGACACUUACAAAGCACACUCCAAUCUCAGCCAUUACUGACUGACAAGAGCCUGCCUGUCUGAAGCCUGCAGGCCCGAGAAGCUUCUUUCUCCCUUCUCUUGGCUAUUAGUCACAGCUGGUAAGGCUCACAGGAACCGAGACUGUUUGAAAACAGUUGGAUCACGAAAACGUUUGAGUCUUUCUGCUGCAAGCAACAAACUUGGCCCAGGCUGCCACAAGGAGAUGGAGUGGGAGUGGGGGUGGCGAUGGGAUGCACCAGGAACGAAGGAAGAAAGGGAAAUUGCUAACCACCUCACUUCAAAAUCUUCUCUGAGGGAGCCCGUGGCUAUUAUCCUGGUUCAAAUGUCACAGAUAGAAGAUAAUAAAAACAAGAAGAAAUAAAAUUCAAGAUCCAUUAGAACACUUCUGGAUUGUCCAUUACAGCAUGUAUUACCCAACAGAAAGAUGAUCACUAAUAGAUGACAAGCUAUUUAAUUUUAUGUUUACUUUUGGAAGGAUGCAGGUACUGUGCAGGGUUUCUACAACACAUCAGCAUUGCUUACACCAGUACUUCAAAUAUGAGUUAUUUAAUCACCCAAGUUAAAUGAAAAUAACCAAAUGAUUAAAUAAAAUCAAGUCAUACUUCAUGUGAAGACUUUA